rnacentral:rRNA from 1 species
GACGAACGCUGGCGGCAGGCUUAACACAUGCAAGUCGAACGAGAAGCUAUCCUUCGGGAUAGUGGAGAGUGGCGAACGGGUGAGUAACGCGUGGGCACCUACCUUUGGGUGCGGAAUAACCUCGGGAAACUGGGGCUAAUACCGCAUACUCCGAUCUUGGUGGUUCUUGAUCGGGAAAGAUUUAUCGCCCAAGGAUGGGCCCGCGUCCGAUUAGCUAGUUGGUAAGGUAACGGCUUACCAAGGCGACGAUCGGUAGCUGGUCUGAGAGGAUGAUCAGCCACACUGGGACUGAGACACGGCCCAGACUCCUACGGGAGGCAGCAGUGGGGAAUAUUGGACAAUGGGGGCAACCCUGAUCCAGCCAUGCCGCGUGAGUGAAGAAGGCCUUAGGGUUGUAAAACUCUUUCACCGGUGAAGAUAAUGACGGUAGCCGGAGAAGAAGCCCCGGCUAACUCCGUG